rnacentral:rRNA from 1 species
GAUGAACGCUGGCGGCGUGCCUAAUACAUGCAAGUCGAGCGAACGGACGAGAAGCUUGCUUCUCUGAUGUUAGCGGCGGACGGGUGAGUAACACGUGGAUAACCUACCUAUAAGACUGGGAUAACUUCGGGAAACCGGAGCUAAUACCGGAUAAUAUUUUGAACCGCAUGGUUCAAAAGUGAAAGACGGUCUUGCUGUCACUUAUAGAUGGAUCCGCGCUGCAUUAGCUAGUUGGUAAGGUAACGGCUUACCAAGGCAACGAUGCAUAGCCGACCUGAGAGGGUGAUCGGCCACACUGGAACUGAGACGCGGUCCAGACUCCUACGGGAGGCAGCAGUAGGGAAUCUUGCGCAAUGGGCGAAAGCCUGACGGAGCAACGCCGCGUGAGGGAUGAAGGUCUUCGGAUCGUAAAACUCUGUUAGUAGGGAAGAACAUAUGUGUAAGUAACUGUGCACAUCUUGACGGUACCUAAUCAGAAAGCCACGGCUAACUACGUG